rnacentral:rRNA from 1 species
CCUACGGGGGGCAGCAGUGGGGAAUAUUGGACAAUGGGGGGAACCCUGAUCCAGCCAUGCCGCGUGUGUGAAGAAGGCCCUCGGGUUGUAAAGCACUUUCAGUGAGGAAGAACGCCUGGUGGUUAAUACCCAUCAGGAAAGACAUCACUCACAGAAGAAGCACCGGCUAACUCCGUGCCAGCAGCCGCGGUAAUACGGAGGGUGCGAGCGUUAAUCGGAAUUACUGGGCGUAAAGCGCGCGUAGGUGGCUUGAUAAGCCGGUUGUGAAAGCCCCGGGCUCAACCUGGGAACGGCAUCCGGAACUGUCAAGCUAGAGUGCAGGAGAGGAAGGUAGAAUUCCCGGUGUAGCGGUGAAAUGCGUAGAGAUCGGGAGGAAUACCAGUGGCGAAGGCGGCCUUCUGGACUGACACUGACACUGAGGUGCGAAAGCGUGGUAGCAAACAGGAUUAGAUACCCUUGUAGUC